rnacentral:lncRNA from 1 species
CUUCUCGCGCGUGAGCGCGCCCUAUCGGCUCCUGGCGCGUCAACAUUCCGCGGGCCAGGCCUUGGGGCGCGUCUGAGGAGGGGGAUGUCUGUGGCCUCUCCGCCCACACUUCCUCCACCCACCGCCCACAGCGCCCCAGAAGGACCUAUUACUCGUUUGGCUUCUGAAGGCCGAAGCCAGGCUCUGGCGGGGAUAGAACCCUGAAGGGCCUGCGCCAGCUCCAACUUAGGGCCCUGUGCGUCGUUGCGACUUCUGCUACCACCCUAUCACGCGGCACCCCCGCCCCAACUCCGCCCGGGUCUCUGAAGAGGCAAUAGGCCUUUCAUCUCCGGGGAAAGUCUCACCUUGGCCCUCAGACACCCGCCAAGAGGGGUCGGAAGGACAGAAUUAGCAUAGAGAAGAGUGGCUAGAGCACUUUUCAGGCUCUGGCCCCAGGAAUCCUUGACAGGAAGCGUGGGGUUGCUGCCCAGCCUCCCACGCAGUGUAAUAUGUUGAAGCCGGGCCCCUUUGAGGGAAUGCGACUUCCUUGGGCCGAGGGGGAAAGGGUAAAAGUUAAUUUUCAUAAAAUGCUAUGCAAGGGCUAAAUGUGAAAUUAUAAAAUGUCCUUUAAGACAGUCUUCUUGAAAUCGUAUCAAGUUUGACAAGAUUUUUGGUGCACGGUAACGCUUUUGCUCGCUUUCUACGCUGUCACGUCUCCAUCCUGCAACACUGAAUACGUAGAUGGAACGUGGAUCAGCUAAUAACUGCAGCAAAAUAAAAACUGCAUUUAUCAUCUUUAUCAUUAUUUAAAUAGACCUCCGAGAAGUCAAACUGUGAUUUAGGAAAACUUAAUCAUUGCCUCAACCUAUUUAACUAUUUUGUUUUGAAGUUACUUUGCAAAUAUACCACAAAAUCCCUCUUUGUUAGGCAGUGGUAGACUUUUAAACUCACUUGUUAGAGAAUCUUUCCCAGAAGCAUAUCUAGUUGAGCCUGCGAGGCAAGUAGGACUAAGGUAUAAUUACUCCCAUUUUACAGAUGAAAAUUUAGUUAUCAAAAUGUAAGUCAGUUGUUCAGCAUUGUGAGGAGUCUAUCACUGAUAAAGGGAAAACUCUAAGGUCUAUUAUUGCCUGCUUUAUUCACUAAACCAGAAAUCUCUCAAUUGUUUUUUUCCAAGUAUCUUUUGCUGCCUCUUACGUAUUGUAGGCAGUGCCUGAUGGCUGAGAAGAAUCGCAGAGGACUAGAAAAGGUUUGAGUCUGAAAUUAUCUGGCACAGAGGAUUAAAGCUCAGAAAUAAGUGAUUGCGAAACAGUUCAACUUCCCUGUUAAUGACAACAACAACAGCAACACGCUUAUUAAUUCCUAGCUGGAGCAUCAAGCUUAUGAAGAUUUCCAAGACUUUAUUGUUGACCCUUGUUGAAGAGAACUCUACUUGGCUUCUUUCCUGGCUUUCCUAAAUUGUUCACAUACAAGAUAAACUACCGUCAUUCAGACUUACAGAAGUGAGAAGACAAGCUGAACCAAAUGUAAAAUGGUAGCAAUUUACAGAUGUCAGAACUAACAUGUGGAUGAACUUAGAGAUGGAGAAGAAAGCUGGGCUUUUCCAAAGAGUGGAUCUAUCUGAACUGGAUAGCACUAUUGAACUUUGUUGCAUAUUUUGUGGUAGCUCUAAAACUCCUCUGCUUGCUUACAUACAACCAGACACCAGUGCCUUCUGAAGCUAAUCCAGGCCAUUUUUAUAACCUAAUGCAGUAGCACUUUGCAAUUAGAUGAAGAAGAUCGGUGGGAUUUCUUUCUGUGGUGAUUAAAAUGUGUCAGGGGAAGAAAUCAAGACAAUACUCCAAGUGAAAAAUAUAAAGUCAGUUAUUUCUUUAAUAUUUUGUGUUAUAGUAAUCAUUUUUAUAUUUUGAGCAUACUUUUUCUUGUCUACUUAAAUACUCAAAAUUAAUUAUAAAAUGUAAAUGUAAGCACAAUGAGAUACCAUCUCAUCCCAGUUAAAAUGGCUUUUAUCAAAAAGAUAGGGAAUAAUGAAUACUGGUGGAAGGAUGUGGAGAAUGGGGAACCCUCGUACACUGUCAAUGAGAAUGUAAAUUAGUACAGCCACUAUGGAAAACUGUAUGGAAGUGCCUCCGAAAACAAAGUAGAACUACCAUGUGAUCCAGCAAUUACACUAGUGGGUAUAUAUUCAAAAGAAAGGAAAUCAACAUAUUAAAGAGAUAGCUGCAUUCUCAUGUUUAUUGAAGUCCUGUUGAAAUAGCCAAAAUAUGGAAUCAACCUAAGUGCCCAUCAGUGGAUGAAUGGUUAAAGAAAAUGUGAUUGAUAUGCAAUGGAAUAUUAUUCAGCCAUAAAAAAGAAUGAAAUCCUGGCGGGGCACAGUGGCUCAUGCAAGUAAUCCCAGCACUGACCUCAUGAAGACAGAGAGUAGAUUGGUGGUUACCAGAGGUUGAGAAGGGGAGAGGAGAGGAGGGAUGAAGAGAGGUUGAUUGAUGGAUAGAAAUAUACAGUUUGAUAAUGAUAAAUCAGUAGGGUGACUAUAGUUUAUAAUAACCUAUUGUAUGGUUCAAAAUAGCUAAAAGAGAAUAAUUGAAAUAACGUAAGACAAAAAUUUAAGAUGAUAGAUAUCCCAAUUACACUGAUUUGAUCUUUACAAAUUAUAUGAAUGUAUUAAAUUAUUACAUGUAUCCCCAAAAUAUGUACAAGUAUUUUGUAUCAAUAAAAAAUAAAAUUUAAGAUAAAGUAAAUGUAAUGAUUAGCUUAUAUUUCCUAGAUCGGAAAUAAAUAUUUACUUAAGUA